CCACCACUGCCCACUGGGGACCUCUGAGAGAGGAUGUCCUCCUGAAAGCAGAGAGCACUGGAGGGGCUCAGGAGCCCCUGUCAUCUUCUGUGAGGGCUCCUAAGUUAGCCCCUAACAAGUCUCGCCCUCCACCCUUUCUCCACCUACCAACCAAAGGAAACUGCAAAACGUCGUAAACGGGAUCAUUGCGUUCAUCCCUCCCCAGCUUACAUCACUUCAAAGCUGGGAAAGGUUCUCUGCUUUUAGGGACUCAUGUGAUUAGACUGGGCCCACCAGGAUCAUCCAGGAUAUCCUCCCAUCUCAACGAGGACAGGGUUUGCUUCUCUUCUGCUUCCUGUUGGAUCUGCAGGAACCCCCGCCCCGCCCAGUGCCUGGUCCUCUCCCCCAUAUACUCAAUGCCUGAUGGUGAAUGAACAAACGGACACGUCUCUCCGAUCUGGAUCUCCCAGGACCGCCCGUGGAUCGCUGCCCUCCUCCACAUUGGAGCUCCUGGGUGCAGACUGCUCUGCUGACCGACCCUGGACCCUCUGGAGGCCAUGUCUGGACGUCCUCUUUCCAUUUCCAGUCCAGUCCCCUUGCCUCUAUUCCACACUACAGGAAUUUUAUCUCUGAUGCCAAUUUUGGGAUUAAUACUCGUCUCAGAAAUUGGCACAAGUCCAGAGAGAACAUAGGAUUUAGUCAAACCAUAUUUACUGAGCACCUAAUCUGUCCCAGGUCUUAUACUGAAAGUUGUUCAAAACUGAGCAACCACAGAAACCACCGUUGAGAGCUCACAAAAUGGCAAAGACACAAAUAACCACCAAAGAAUGAUACAGGCCCCAAUUCUGCUGCCACAGCUAUGCGACGGGGGUUGGGCUGCAGGGGAAAGAAAAGACAGAAGUGUCCAGUUGUUUCUCCACCAGACCAUCCUACUAAGGGCAGAACUCAUCACCAGCUGCCCCUCUGGCUCAGGUGGAGGGGAGGCAGGGAGAGCCGGUGGAAAAGGUUUGGGGUGGAAGCAAGAAGUGUGAACAAGAUUUUACUUCUCAUUUAAGUGUAGUUACCGUCUAAUUCCAGCAAGGCAGAGGCUCAGGCUCUGAAAAGCCUUUAGAAACGGGAAGGACUGUUCUCCAAACAGGCACUCAUCCUCAAGUGAGGAUCCACCUGGCCGACUUCAUGGAAGGGCCCCAAGGAUGAACGAAGGCAGCGUCAGCAGGCCUCUGGAGCAGGGACAGAGCUGCCCAACUAGGAGGGAGGACACAGCCCCCUUGGGCCCUACUUCUCAGAGACUCUUUCUCAGACGCCAAAGCGCUCAGUUGGGAAAAUUGCAAAAUAAUAGUAAAAAGAUUUUCAAGUUGGAAAGUGCAGCCCUGAAGUUGAUAGGCACCAGGCAGGCCAUGAAGUUCCAUCAACUGCCAGCUGAGAUGCGAGACCCCGGGGGCAGCCAGAGGACCAGCAGGCAGGUGACACACAGAUGAAAUGUGUCAUCUAUCUCGUUGGCCUUGCUCACCCAUGGAAUCCCAUCAGAGGGCUCAUGGGAAGACAUGGUGGGGCUCGCGACAUACCUCCAACUUGCUAGCUCACGUUAGUCCUUUACUUGGGCCCUUGGUUGUGGCUGACACAGAGUUUUACUAAUGCACAGUGAUCUGCCAAACCAUUUUGGCUGUGUUUUUCUGGAAGCCAGAGAGAAGAACGCUAUAAAAAAUAACAAGCUAAGCAGAAUGCCCUGCCUGUCUCCCCGAGGGGCCACCAGCUAUUUCCCAUGAAAAUAAAGAACAGGGAAGAAUUAAGAGCGGGGAGGGGAGGAUCAGAGAAAGCCAUCUGUAAAACCAGGAGGGUUUUCAAUGACUUUUCAGCAGCAAAAGAACAAUUAUUAUAUUAUUCUGAGGGCAUUCAAAAUUCUUGAAAAUUGAGAGAACUUGAAAGUGAAUUGAUGCUGUUGUUUUUGCUUUUUAACCAGCAUUUUGAAAUGUUAUGGGAGCCUCAAAAUAAGUUUUAAGAACUGCCACUCUGUUCCCUGAUGUGAAGGGGGCUCCAUGGGGCUUCUACCGUAAUCCGGGUAAGUAAAGAGUGGAUUAAGGCAGUAAUUUGCAGUAGCUAAAAAAAGAACUACAAAGGCACAAGUGCUACCAAUUAUAUCUCAACACAAACCAGUGCCUCCUUAAGCCUCGACGCAGAGAAGGCAAACAAUUUCAUUGUCAAGCAGGGGUUCUCUGGAAAGCCUGGGAGCAUGCGGGGCGCAUUAAAGGGGAGAUAUCUCGCAUGUGCAAUUACUCAACACAUCUUUAAAACUGUAAACACUUGUUCACAUGUGGAGAAGUUUAGAGCUGCGCAGGCUUGGAAAACCCACCUGGCAGGCGGGCUCCCUCCAUCUCUCUCCAGUUGAGUAACAGUUCUCGCCGCCCGCUGUUCCUCCGAGAGCCAAACACAAGUCAGCGGAGAAAUCAUUACGGAGUGGGGGGCAGGAGUUCACGCGCGUUCUAUUUUUAGCCAGAGCGCUCCCUUUUCCCCUCUCCCGAUUGAUCCGCUCGUAUAAACCUUGCCUCCGUUUCUCCCCGCCCCACCUAGCUGCCUCUGGGAGCCUGCGCACUCAGAGGUGCCUUUUGGUUCUGGCCUGCUGCUCUCUCCACCUUUGAUUGGUGAGUGGCACUGAGGAUGCCGACAUGUCCAAGUAAUCUCGGCGGAGGAACUUUGCCCAGCGUUGGUGUUGGAAAGAGAAGGCUGGGUGGCCUCAAAGAAUAGUCCCAUGCGUGGAAAAAUCCUCUCUCCCAACGUGCUCAACAGAAGAAAGUAUAGAAGUCGAGGACACCAGCUUAUAGAGCUGGGAAUGAAACGGAAAUAAAGCAAAGUUUAUUCUCUCCCGUCGGCCCCGGCCUGGCUUACUGGAGAACCACACUCAGAUGUGUGUGAGUCACAUGUCAAACGUGGAAAAAACCCACUAGACCUUCCUGCUUAGUUGGCUGCCCAACGAGAGGGCACGGCUGCUUCUCCUUUCCCGGGGCGGAUCUUACAUGUCUCCAGCAAGGAACCGAUUGUUUUGCUUCUCUGAUUUAACUUGCCAUCGUGAGGCCUCUGGGGAGGGAAGCAAGCCAGUUCCCCGGCCCCUCAGAUCCGCAGGCACACACGCUCUAGGCACCCGAGACAAGCUCAAAGGAGAGGGCGUGUGCUCCAUCCAGAGGGCAGUACACCCAGCCGUGGAAAGAUGGCAAUAAAUCCCUGAGAAAUUAAAAUUUCACUUGAAGUGGAAAUUUGACCAUCACCGAAACUCUGCCAAAUUUUGGAUUUGCGGAUUGGUAAAGAGGUUUCCAAAAUGAAAUGAUGUCUACAGGUUGUUUGUUUUAAAGGACGUAAUAUAUAGUAAAAAUGAAAUAAGCAUCCCACCCGAGUAAGAGUGAUUUCUCUCCCAGCAGACCUUUUCCAGGCUCUAGUAAUUUCGCUGUUAAUGGGCAGAGGGAACGUAAUCAGCUAGGUAAUGGGCACCCCUACCACUGAAGUCAUUUAAUUAGCACCAGUAAAUGAAAGCUGCCCAGGUGCUUGGGCCCAAUUAGCUGUGCCCGAAACAUCUCCCACAUGGGCCAGCAAUUAGAGCCUAGGGUGGGGAGCUGAGCGCCCUCGGAGAAGACUGCCCCAGCAGAGCACCCCCCUUCAACAAGCCAAGCAAUGCCAGAGCCCCCGAAUCCUCAGGAAGCCAUCGCACUUGGAGAGGCAAAGACACAAUUUAUAGAGUCACAUAAUAAUUUUUAAUGAUACAGUAUUUUCCAAGUAAUAAUAGAAGUCUGGGCUCUGAAGUCGUAUCACCUAGGUUUGAAUCCUGGCUAUAUGCUUUGAGCAAGUUACUAAGACCUUUUUGUCUCAGUUUCCUCAUCUGCAAAAUGGGAUAAUAAUAAAAUCUACUUGAGGCCUAAGUGAGUUAAUAUGUAUAAAAUGCUGCUUAGAAGACUUACUGGCACAUACUUUCAUAAGUGUUGUUAUUUUUACCAUAUUUUUUAAUUAUUCUUGUUAUUAUACAUUUAUCUCACUUUAUUUUUAUCUCACCAAUGCAUCGUGGUAGCC
rnacentral:lncRNA from 1 species